GUGCUCACUUUGGCAGUACAUAUACUAAAAUUGGAAUGAUACAGAGAUUAGCAUGGCCUCUGAGCAAGAAUGACACGCAAAUUGAUGAAUUAUACCAUAUAAAA
ensembl:snRNA U6 U6 spliceosomal RNA